UACCCUGCAGCAGCUCGGCCACCCACGCAGCCCCAGUGGCAAUGUCAGACGCCACCAAAGGUACAGUCCUACCCUGCAGACAACCACGUCAGGUAACAUCAAACUUCAUCUAUAAAUACCCCCAAACUCUAAAGAGAAAGAGGGAGAGGAACUCACUCAGACACAAAACACUCAGAGGCUCUUCUUCUGCCUCAUCCACAAUCCCCUCCACAUCUUUCUCUAAUUUGAUCGUCGGAGGGGUCGGGCCGAGCUCCCGGCCCGACCUGUGUGCAGGUGCGAGACGGUGUCGCCUCUUCCUGAAGCUGCGGCAGAGCUGCCUCCCGACCCGAACCGCCAACCCGACCUGCCGAACCGACCUCCCGACCCG
rnacentral:lncRNA from 1 species